rnacentral:rRNA from 2 species
AGGGUGAAUUAGCAACAGGGCUUGCCCCAGUAACGGCGAGUGAAGCGGCACAGCUCAAUUUGAAAUCUGGCUCUCGGGCCCGAGUUGUAAUUUGUACAGGAUGCUUUUGGUGAGGUGCCUUCCGAGUUCCCUGGAACGGGACGCCCUAGAGGGUGAGAGCCCCGUCUGGUUGGACACCGAUCCUCUGUAAAGCUCCUUCCACGAGUCGAGUAGUUUGGUAAUGCUGCUCUAAAUGGGAGGUAUAUGUCUUCUAAAGCUAAAUACCGGGCUGAGACGGAAAGCGCACAAGUAGAGUGAUCGAAAGAUGAAAAGAACUUUGAAAAGAGAGUUAAACAGUACGUGAAAUUGUUGAAAGGGAAGCGCUUGUGACCAGACUUGGGCUUGGUUGAUCAUCCGGGGUUCUCCCCGGUGCACUCUUCCGGCUCAGGCCAGCAUCAGUUCGCCCUGGGGGAUAAAGGCUUCGGGAAUGUGGCUCUCUCCGGGGAGUGUUAUAGCCCGCUGCGUAAUACCCUGUGGCGGACUGAGGUUCGCGCAUUCGCAAGGAUGCUGGCGUAAUGGUCAUCAGUGACCCGUCUUGAAACACGGACCAAGGAGUCGUCUUCGUAUGCGAGUGUUGGGGGGGGAAAGAGG